rnacentral:rRNA from 1 species
AGAGUUUGAUCCUGGCUCAGGAUGAACGCUAGCGGCAGGCUUAACACAUGCAAGUCGAGGGGUAGAGGUUGCUUGCAACCUUGAGACCGGCGCACGGGUGCGUAACGCGUAUGCAACCUACCUUUUACAGAGGGAUAGCCCAGAGAAAUUUGGAUUAAUACCUCAUAGUAUAUAUCUUUCGCAUGUUAGGUAUAUUAAAGUUCCAACGGUAAAAGAUGGGCAUGCGUCCUAUUAGCUAGAUGGUAAGGUAACGGCUUACCAUGGCUACGAUAGGUAGGGGUCCUGAGAGGGAGAUCCCCCACACUGGUACUGAGACACGGACCAGACUCCUACGGGAGGCAGCAGUGAGGAAUAUUGGACAAUGGGCGCAAGCCUGAUCCAGCCAUGCCGCGUGCAGGAAGAAGCAUCUAUGGUGUGUAAACUGCUUUUGUACAGGAAGAAACAUCCCGACGUGUCGGGACUUGACGGUACUGUAAGAAUAAGGAUCGGCUAACUCCGUGCCAGCAGCCGCGGUAAUACGGAGGAUCCAAGCGUUAUCCGGAAUCAUUGGGUUUAAAGGGUCCGUAGGCGGUUUGGUAAGUCAGCGGUGAAAGCCCGCAGCUCAACUGUGGAACGGCCAUUGAUACUGCCAGACUUGAAUUACAAGGAAGUAACUAGAAUAUGUAGUGUAGCGGUGAAAUGCUUAGAUAUUACAUGGAAUACCAAUUGCGAAGGCAGGUUACUACUUGUGGAUUGACGCUGAUGGACGAAAGCGUGGGGAGCGAACAGGAUUAGAUACCCUGGUAGUCCAA